CAACAGCAACACAGUGCACCCCAUGAGUUGUACAGGUCAGGGAUACCCCGAACCUACAGUGACAGUAAUGGUCGAGAAUAUGGUAGUGACUGGCACUGAUACAAUCAAUUGUGCUGCUGGUGUUUGUACAAAAACACGAACAGCAUCACUAGAUGGUAGUACCUACACACCUGGUGACACCAUCAAUAUCACCUGUACUGUGGAUAUCAACCAACCACCAUUCACCUGUACUGCUGCCCAGAAUUCAACUUUACAGGCACAGUGUAGUACAUCUAUCCAGACCAGCUCACAAACAAGAACGGUUCCUGCAAUUGCGCAAUGUCCAAAUCUCACUGACGGCCAAUUCAAUUACAAACCUAUUGCCAGAUUCGACACACAACCAGGUACCCCAGUAUCCAUCGAGUGCAGAACAGGUUUUCUGUCUAACAAUAGUAUGGAAAUAACUCAGUCUACAUGCCAAAGCAACGGAAGGUGGCAACCAAUUCAACCAAUGUGUGAGAAUUGCAUGUUGGUAUGCAAUGACACUAAUGUGGUGGAUUGUAAUCAUGUACCAGCAGUGGGAAUGACAAUGGCAACUGUCAACUGUACUUGUGGACAAAACUUCCAAUGGACCAUGGGUGAAUGUCAACGUA